rnacentral:lncRNA from 1 species
UUGGAUAUGAGCAAGGCCUAUGAUAAGGUGGAGUGGCAUUUAAUACAGACGAUUAUGAUCAAAAUGAGAUUUGAUGUGAGCUGGGUUAAUUUGAUCAUACGAUGUGUUCAAACAGUCAGAUAUUCGGUUGUUGUGGAUGGAGAGGCUAAAGGUUUUAUCGUACCAUAUCGUGGCCUUCGUCAAGGUGAUCCAUUAAGCCCUUUCUUGUUCUUAUUCUUGUUCUUAUUUGUAGUGAGUGCCUUUCUAUUUUGUUGAAUCUGGCGUGUAAUGAUGGCCUUUAAAGGGGGGUCUAAGUGAGUCGUGGGGAGCCUCGGGUUUCUCAUUUAUUCUUUGUCGAUGAAAACUUGAUAUUUGGCGAGACUAUUGUGGGGGCGAGUUAUGUAGUGGCCAUUCUAUAGGAAUAUAAAUUGUGUUCAGGGAAACAAAUCAAUUUUGGAAAGUCUAUUGUUUACUUUAGCUGAAACAUUGAUCAUGGGUUGCGCAAUGCUAUUGAAUGAGUGUUGGGUGUCCGAAGCACUAUGGAUCUUGGGAAUUAUUUGGGCUUGCUAUAGUUGUUGGAAAGAAUAAAAAGUGGGAUUCUCGAGCUAUUAAAGAAUGAUUUCUUGAACGAAUUGGUCGAUGGUAUAAUCAAUGCCUUUCACAAGGUGGUAAAGUCAUUUUUAUUAAUUCGAUUUUGCAAGCUAUCCUGAUCUACUCGAUGUUUUAUUUUUUUACUUCCUAGUUCCUUUUAUAAAGAGUUGGAGGCUUUAAUGUGUCAUUACUGGUGGAGUAAGUCAACCACGAGGAGGGGGAUUCAUUGGUGUUCUUGGGAGGGAUUGUGUGAUUUGAAGGAGGUUGGUGGGUUGGGUUUUUGUGAUCUAUUGAAGGUUAACAUUGCUCUACCAACCAAGCAAGGUUGGUGUCUAACGACUAGUCCGAGUUCUUUAAUGGCGCGUGUGCUUAAAGCUAAGUAUUACCCUACUAGCAAUUUUAUGGAAAUAGAGUUAGGACAUCAACCUUCCUUUGUUUGGCAAAGUAUCUGGGCCGCUAAAGGCCUUCUGUAAAUAGGUUGUGGUUGGAAAGUGGGCAAUGGGCUCUCAAUCUCGGUCUGGGAUGAUGUUUGGCUUCCUAGGUAAACGCCCUGCAAGAUUUAAAUUGAUCGUGUUAAUGGGAUUGAAAAGGUGGUCGAUUUAAUUGAUAUGGAUCGAUGAAAGUGGAAGGGUGAGUUAGUAAGGGCUUUAUUUCCUGACCUGAUCGUGCGUUGCAUACUAAGUAUCUCGUUAACCGUUCAUGAUUUGGCAGAUCAUUGGUGAUGGUUCUUGGAGGACAAUAGGGAGUAAUUGGUCCGGAGCGAAUGUAAGUUGCUGUUACGAGGCUUCUCAAAGACAGAUGAUUAUUACAGAAAUAUAACACAAACCACGAGACUUAUUUACAAACAAAUAUAGGGGGCUCAAGUGCCCGAGAAAAUGAAAAUUACAUGCUAGUGUCAAAUAAGCAGUUUUCUCCCUAUAAAGGUUAAUUUAUUUCAGCGUAUACUCAGGUUAGAUCAAAUGUGCCCUCGCUAUGGUUGUGGUCCUGAAACCAUUCUUCAUGUCUGUUCGGAUUGUCCUAGUGUCUUGCAAAUUUGACACACAAUCUAGGCAUCAAUUGGGAUAAUAUUCCAGAUUCUGAAGAUACACAUAUCCACUGGGUUGGGCAACUAUCUGCUAAACAUAUGAGACAAGUGCAGCUUUUUAUUAUUACUGUAUGGACUAUUUAGACCUCCAGAAAUAAAAUCACCUAUGAGGGAUUUUAUCAAUCGGUUCGGUCUCUACUUAUCUUUGUAUUAGGCUAUCUGCGUGACUUGGAAUCUCUUCCAUCGGGCUCUGGAAACAUCGCGGCCACUGAGUCACUACUUUGGAGGCCUCCUGUUGAUCCUUGGGUCUGCGUCAAUUUUUGUGACGAGUUCUUUGAUAACCUGUAGGUUGCCAACACGGGAGUUGCUGUUAAAAAUUCUGAAGGGUUGCUAAUGGGGUUGGCUUAUUUUGAGUAGGAAGAUGUACCUUGCUUGUUGACAACCGAGGCCCUGGCAUGCAUGCGAGCUCUUGGAUUUGCCCGGGAUCUGGGGUUUCGGUGUGUUGAACUUAAAGGCGACUCAGUAGUGCUUAUCUCCAAGCUAAACAGCUAUGAUAUAGACAGAUAAAAAGUGAGCACCCUUGUCUAGGAUGCGAAACGACUUGUAAUGGUUUUUGAACGAUUCAAGUUUCAACACAUUAAAAGAUGAGGUAAUAUGGUGGCUCACCUAUUGGCCCGUUAAAGCUUUAUACGAAGGAGGGAUGUUUGUUGGGUGGUGGAAGGACCAACAUCGAUUUUGGUAGUGGUGGACAUAUAUAGGUGGGGAGGGGCUGAGUUUGUCGGAAAUUUCAGGAAUCGGGGGUGCUUGCUAGAUUUGAAUCCAUACUAGCAGUUUUUGAUGUGGCUUCAACUGUGAGCGUUGAUCAGUGGCAGGUUCACACGGCGUUGGAGCUUUUCUGGACAUGCAUCUCUAGCUAUGGAAGAUGAAUGGGUUUCUUCAGCUCUUUCUGCUUUGGUUUUUUCUUUUCUUUUUUAGUUUUGUUUUUCUUUGCUUCGUGGGAUAUGUUGCACAUUUUUUGGUGGAGUCCCCAAAGUUGUUGCUUUACUAUUUUGGCUAUUUCUAAUAAAUGCAUGCCGGUUCAUAUUGAAA